rnacentral:rRNA from 1 species
UACGGGGGGGGCAAGCGUUGUUCGGAAUUACUGGGCGUAAAGGGCUCGUAGGUGGCCAACUAAGUCAGACGUGAAAUCCCUCAGCUUGACUGGGGAACUGCGUCUGAUACUGGAUGGCUUGAGUUUGGGAGAGGGAUGCGGAAUUCCAGAUGUAGCGGUGAAAUGCGUAGAUAUCUGGAGGAACACCGGUGGCGAAGGCGGCAUCCUGGACCAACACUGACACUGAGGAGCGAAAGCCAGGGGAGCAAACGGG